GCAGUCUCCGCCGCAGUUGGUCCAGUAGUUUCGGAAGCCCGGGCUCCGGCUCCGCGGAGAGCGAGUCGGCGUGAAUGGGAGCGAGCAACCGCGCUGUGCGUGCGCGCGUGAGAGUUUAUGUCUGGCAGAAGAGGAACAUUCAGCAGCCUGUGCUUCUCAGCAGUCCUAACUUCUCGGAGGAUCCUCGGCUGGGUAGCUGAUGGACUGCAAGCUUGUCCAGUGGUUUUGCCUCUCUUGUGCAAGAUCACAACUGGGGCUGGCAGCAGCUACAGACCCAGAAACUGAGAAGCAAAGCUCUGGAAAAGGUUUCUACCUUGCCUAUGGUUGGAGCGUUAGAUCGGGGUAUUUGCACUUUUUUGUGCGCUGGUCUUCACUUCCCACAGAUAUCCUGGCCUGCCUGCUGUCUAGAUAAAGUGCAGAGAUGAGUGGUUGGGGUCUGUCAUACUUAGUAGUAACAUUUUGGUACCGUGUUAAAUUAAAACUAAGCACUGGACAAAGUGGCAUCCAAAAGAUCUUUUUAAAAUGCGGUUUUGAAAACAGUCCUAGAGUCUGGUUUGGUUUAGUUGCCAAAGCCAAAUAAAGUGCACAGGAAUGAAAACA